rnacentral:rRNA from 1 species
GAUGAACGCUGGCGGCGUGCUUAACACAUGCAAGUCGAACGGAAAGGCCAGUGCUUGCACUGGUGCUCGAGUGGCGAACGGGUGAGUAACACGUGGGUGAUCUGCCCUGCACUUUGGGAUAAGCCUGGGAAACUGGGUCUAAUACCAGAUAGGACCAUGCUUUGGAUGGUGUGGUGGAAAGUUUUUUCGGUGUGGGAUGAGCUUGCGGCCUAUCAGCUUGUUGGUGGGGUAAUGGCCUACCAAGGCGUCGACGGGUAGCCGGCCUGAGAGGGUGUACGGCCACAUUGGGACUGAGAUACGGCCCAGACUCCUACGGGAGGCAGCAGUGGGGAAUAUUGCACAAUGGGCGCAAGCCUGAUGCAGCGACGCGGCGUGGGGGAUGACGGCCUUCGGGUUGUAAACUCCUUUCGCAACUGACGAAGCUUUUUGUGACGGUAGGUUGAGAAGAAGCACCGGCUAACUACGUG